CUGCUCGCUUCAGCAGCACAUAUACUAAAAUUGGAAGGAUAGAGAGAAGAUUAGCAUGGCUCCUGCGCAAGGAUGACACGCAAAUUCGUGAAGUGGUCCAUAUUUUU
rnacentral:snRNA from 1 species